AUCGCUUCUCGGCCUUUUGGCUCAGAUCAAGUGUAGUAUCUGUUCUUAUCAGUUUAAUAUCUGAUACGUCCCCCAUCGGGGGACUACAUAUUAAAUGGAUUUUUCGAACAGGGAGUCGGAAAUGGGGCUUGCUCCGUCCGCUCCACGCAUCGACCCGGGAUUGCAGUACCUCCGGGAACGGUGCAACACUU
rnacentral:snRNA from 8 species